UGGUGCUUGCAUCAUGAUUUACAUUUGAGUGAGUGGCGAACUGGUGAGUAACACGUGGGAAACCUGCCCAGAAGCGGGGGAUAACACCUGGAAACAGAUGCUAAUACCGCAUAACAACUUGGACCGCAUGGUCCGAGCUUGAAAGAUGGCUUCGGCUAUCACUUUUGGAUGGUCCCGCGGCGUAUUAGCUAGAUGGUGGGGUAACGGCUCACCAUGGCAAUGAUACGUAGCCGACCUGAGAGGGUAAUCGGCCACAUUGGGACUGAGACACGGCCCAAACUCCUACGGGAGGCAGCAGUAGGGAAUCUUCCACAAUGGACGAAAGUCUGAUGGAGCAACGCCGCGUGAGUGAAGAAGGGUUUCGGCUCGUAAAACUCUGUUGUUAAAGAAGAACAUAUCUGAGAGUAACUGUUCAGGUAUUGACGGUAUUUAACCAGAAAGCCACGGCUAACUACGUGCCAGCAGCCGCGGUAAUACGUAGGUGGCAAGCGUUGUCCGGAUUUAUUGGGCGUAAAGCGAGCGCAGGCGGUUUUUUAAGUCUGAUGUGAAAGCCUUCGGCUCAACCGAAGAAGUGCAUCGGAAACUGGGAAACUUGAGUGCAGAAGAGGACAGUGGAACUCCAUGUGUAGCGGUGAAAUGCGUAGAUAUAUGGAAGAACACCAGUGGCGAAGGCGGCUGUCUGGUCUGUAACUGACGCUGAGGCUCGAAAGUAUGGGUAGCAAACAGGAUUAGAUACCCUGGUAGUCCAUACCGUAAACGAUGAAUGCUAAGUGUUGGAGGGUUUCCGCCCUUCAGUGCUGCAGCUAACGCAUUAAGCAUUCCGCCUGGGGAGUACGGCCGCAAGGCUGAAACUCAAAGGAAUUGACGGGGGCCCGCACAAGCGGUGGAGCAUGUGGUUUAAUUCGAAACUACGCGAAAAAACCUUACCAGGUCUUGACAUACUAUGCAAAUCUAAGAGAUUAGACGUUCCCCUUCGGGGACAUGGAUACAGGUGGUGCAUGGUUUGUCGUCAGCUCGUGUCG
rnacentral:rRNA from 2 species